AACGAACGCUGGCGGCAGGCCUAACACAUGCAAGUCGAACGCCGUAGCAAUACGGAGUGGCAGACGGGUGAGUAACGCGUGGGAACAUACCCUUCGGUUCGGAAUAACUCAGGGAAACUUGUGCUAAUACCGGAUACGUCCGCAAGGAGAAAGAUUUAUCGCCGAAGGAUUGGCCCGCGUCUGAUUAGCUAGUUGGUGAGGUAAUGGCUCACCAAGGCGACGAUCAGUAGCUGGUCUGAGAGGAUGAUCAGCCACAUUGGGACUGAGACACGGCCCAAACUCCUACGGGUGGCAGCCUGAGACCCAAGGCACACAGGGGAUAGG
rnacentral:rRNA from 1 species